rnacentral:rRNA from 1 species
AGGACGAACGCUGGCGGCGUGCUUAACACAUGCAAGUCGAGCGGAAAGGCCCUUCGGGGUACGUCGAGCGGCGAACGGGUGAGUAACACGUGAGCAACCUGCCCUUAGCUCCGGGAUAGCUCCGGGAAACCGGAAUUAAUACCGGAUACGACCACGGCCGACAUCUGCUGUGGUGGAAAGGAUUCCGGCUAAGGAUGGGCUCGCGGCCUAUCAGCUAGUUGGUGGAGUAACGACCCACCAAGGCGACGACGGGUA